AGAGGUGGCAAGCGUUGUUCGGAAUUACUGGGCGUAAAGGGCGCGUAGGCGGCCAUCUAAGUCAGACGUGAAAUCCCCCGGCUUAACCUGGGGACUGCGUCUGAUACUGGACGGCUGGAGUUUGGGAGAGGGAUGUAGAAUUCCAGGUGUAGCGGUGAAAUGCGUAGAUAUCUGGAGGAAUACCGGUGGCGAAGGCGGCAUCCUGGACCAAUACUGACGCUGAGGCGCGAAAGCUAGGGGAGCAAACGGGAUUAGAUACCCCGGUAGUCCUAGCCCUAAACGAUGAAUACCUUGGUGUGGCGGGUAUCGAUCCCUGCCGUGCCGAAGCUAACGCAUUAAGUAUUCCGCCUGGGGAGUACGGUCGCAAGGCUGA
rnacentral:rRNA from 1 species